rnacentral:rRNA from 1 species
CGUAACAAGGUUUCCGUAGGUGAACCUGCGGAAGGAUCAUUAUCGAAUUACAGAGGGUUGAUGCUGGCAGUCUAACUGCAUGUGCUCAUUCUCCUAAUCCAUUUACACUUUGUGCACAUAGCUUUUGAAGGGAGGGUAGAACCUGCCUUCGAAAUUUACAAGCUCUUAUCUGUGAUUAUGAAUGUUUGACUGCCGCAAGGCAAAAUUUAAUACAACUUUUAACAACGGAUCUCUUGGCUCUCGCAUCGAUGAAGAACGCAGCGAAAUGCGAUAAGUAAUGUGAAUUGCAGAAUUCAGUGAAUCAUCGAAUCUUUGAACGCACCUUGCGCUCCCUGGUAUUCCGGGGAGCACGCCUGUUCGAGUGUCAUGAAACUCUCAAACAAGAUAGAUUUGUUUCUGUCUUUGUUUGGAUUUGGACUUUGCUGUGUCAAUGCAGCUGGUCUUAAAUGUAUUAGCUGGUCCUGAUGAAGGUUUGGUUCUACUCAGCGUGAUAAUUAUCUAACGUUGAGGACAGUCUCCGGACUGGCCAGGCUCUCUUUGGAUUGCUUCUAAUCAUCUUAGGAUAAUUGCUUAAUAUCUGACCUCGAAUCAGGUGGGACUACCCGCUGAACUUAAGCAUAUCAAUAAGCGGAGGAAAAGAAACUAACAAGGAUUCCCCUAGUAACGGCGAGUGAAGCGGGAUGAGCUCAAAUUUAAAAUCUGGUAGUCU